rnacentral:rRNA from 1 species
AGUGAACGCUGGCGGUAGGCCUAACACAUGCAAGUCGAACGGCAGCACAGUAAGAGCUUGCUCUUACGGGUGGCGAGUGGCGGACGGGUGAGGAAUACAUCGGAAUCUACUUUUUCGUGGGGGAUAACGUAGGGAAACUUACGCUAAUACCGCAUACGACCUACGGGUGAAAGCAGGGGAUCUUCGGACCUUGCGCGAUUGAAUGAGCCGAUGUCGGAUUAGCUAGUUGGCGGGGUAAAGGCCCACCAAGGCGACGAUCCGUAGCUGGUCUGAGAGGAUGAUCAGCCACACUGGAACUGAGACACGGUCCAGACUCCUACGGGAGGCCGCAGUGGGGAAUAUUGGACAAUGGGCGCAAGCCUGAUCCAGCCAUACCGCGUGGGUGAAGAAGGCCAUCGGGUUGUAAAGCCCUUUUGUUGGGAAAGAAAAGCAGCAGGUUAAUACCCCGCUGUUCUGACGGUACCCAAAGAAUAAGCACCGGCUAACUUCGUG